rnacentral:tRNA from 1 species
AAGAAAGUCAUAGUGGCUAUGGGGUUGGCUUGAAACCAGCUAUAGAGGGUUCGAUUCCUUCCUUUCUUA